AUUGAACGCUGGCGGCAGGCCUAACACAUGCAAGUCGAGCGAGCGGCGGACGGGUGAGUAAUGUAUGGGGAUCUGCCCGAUAGAGGGGGAUAACUACUGGACACGGUGGCUAAUACCGCAUACUCUCGGAUGACCCCAUAUGGGAUUAGCUGGUAGGUGGGGUAAAGGCUCACCUCGGCGACUAUCUCUAGCUGGUCUGAGAGGAUGAUCAGCAACACUGGAACUGAGACAAGGCCCAUACUCCGACGGGAGGCAGCAGUGGGGAAUAUUGCACAAUGGGCGCAAGCCUGAUGCAGCCAUGCCGCGUGUAUGAAGAAGGCCUUAGGGUUGUAAAGUACUUUCAGCGGGGAGGCGUUACCCGCAGAAGAAGCACCGGCUAACUCCGUGCCAGCAGCCGCGGUAAUUC
rnacentral:rRNA from 1 species